GACGAACGCUGGCGGCAUGCCUAAUACAUGCAAGUCGAGCGAACAAUUUAAGGAGCUUGCUUCUUAAAUUGUUAGCGGCGGAUGGGUGAGUAACACGUGGGCAACCUGCCCUGCAGAUGGGGAUAACUCCGGGAAACCGGGGCUAAUACCGAAUAAUCAGUUUGUUCGCAUGAACAAACUCUGAAAGACGGCUUACGCUGUCACUGCAGGAUGGGCCCGCGGCGCAUUAGCUAGUUGGUGGGAUAACGGCCUACCAAGGCGACGAUGCGUAGCCGACCGGAGAGGGUGAUCGGCCACACUGGGACUGAGACACGGCCCAGACUCCUACGGGAGGCAGCAGUAGGGAAUCUUCCACAAUGGACGAAAGUCUGAUGGAGCAAUGCCGCGUGAGUGAAGAAGGUUUUCGGAUCGUAAAACUCUGUUGUGAGGGAAGAACAAGUACGGGAGUAACUGCCCGUACCUUGACGGUACCUCAUUAGAAAGCCACGGCUAACUACGUGCCAGCAGCCGCAGUAAUAC
rnacentral:rRNA from 1 species